GAAUAGACCCCCUUCAGGCAGAACUGAUUUCAGUACACUGAUGAAAGGAUGGCUUUUCAGCCCGGGCACUGUACACAGCUCACUGUCUGGGAACGGAACUGCUGGAUCAGAAAGGAUGAUCACUUCACCUUCGCCGGAUGAAGCCAAGCUGUCCAGAGUGGGUGCGGCAGUCUCCAGCCCUCCAAUAAAACAGUAG
rnacentral:lncRNA from 1 species